rnacentral:rRNA from 1 species
AGAAUCAACGCUGGCGGCGUGCCUAAUACAUGCAAGUCGAACGCGAAAGCUCCGCAAGGGGCCGUAGCGUGGCAAACGGGUGAGUAACGCGUGGGCGACCUACCUCAGAGUGGGGGAUAACCUUCCGAAAGGAGGGCUAAUACCGCAUGACAUCCCGUGUUUGGAUACACGGACAUCAAAGCCGGGGAUCGCAAGACCUGGCGCUUGGAGAGGGGCCCGCGUCCGAUUAGCUAGUUGGUGGGUAACGCCCACAAGGCUUCGAUCGGUA